UACACAUGGGCAAGGUCGAACGCUGAAGCACCAGCUUGCUGGUGUGGAUGAGUGGCGAACGGGUGAGUAAUACGUGAGUAACCUGCCCUUGACUCUGGGAUAAGCCCGGGAAACUGGGUCUAAUACUGGAUGCUACAUGUCACCGCAUGGUGGUGUGUGGAAAGGGUUUACUGGUCUUGGAUGGGCUCACGGCCUAUCAGCUUGUUGGUGAGGUAAUGGCUCACCAAGGCGACGACGGGUAGCCGGCCUGAGAGGGUGACCGGCCACACUGGGACUGAGACACGGCCCAGACUCCUACGGGAGGCAGCAGUGGGGAAUAUUGCACAAUGGGCGAAAGCCUGAUGCAGCGACGCCGCGUGAGGGAUGACGGCCUUCGGGUUGUAAACCUCUUUCAGCAGGGAAGAAGCCACAAGUGACGGUACCUGCAGAAGAAGCGCCGGCUAACUACGUGCCAGCAGCCGCGGUAAUACGUAGGGCGCAAGCGUUGUCCGGAAUUAUUGGGCGUAAAGAGCUCGUAGGCGGUUUGUCGCGUCUGCUGUGAAAGCCCGGGGCUUAACCCCGGGUGUGCAGUGGGUACGGGCAGACUAGAGUGCAGUAGGGGAGACUGGAAUUCCUGGUGUAGCGGUGGAAUGCGCAGAUAUCAGGAGGAACACCGAUGGCGAAGGCAGGUCUCUGGGCUGUUACUGACGCUGAGGAGCGAAAGCAUGGGGAGCGAACAGGAUUAGAUACCCUGGUAGUCCAUGCCGUAAACGUUGGGCACUAGGUGUGGGGGACAUUCCACGUUUUCCGCGCCGUAGCUAACGCAUUAAGUGCCCCGCCUGGGGAGUACGGCCGCAAGGCUAAAACUCAAAGGAAUUGACGGGGGCCCGCACAAGCGGCGGAGCAUGCGGAUUAAUUCGAUGCAACGCGAAGAACCUUACCAAGGCUUGACAUAUACCGGAUCGUUCCAGAGAUGGUUCUUCCCCUUUGGGGUCGGUAUACAGGUGGUGCAUGGUUGUCGUCAGCUCGUGUCGUGAGAUGUUGGGUUAAGUCCG
rnacentral:rRNA from 1 species